rnacentral:rRNA from 1 species
UGGGGAAUAUUGGGCAAUGGGCGCAAGCCUGACCCAGCAACGCCGCGUGAAGGAAGAAGGCUUUCGGGUUGUAAAACUUCUUUUCUCAGGGACGAAGCAAGUGACGGUACCUGAGGAAUAAGCCACGGCUAACUACGUGCCAGCAGCCG